rnacentral:lncRNA from 1 species
GCUGAGGGGGCAACUGGGAGCACUGGGAGCAACUGGGGGGGCAACUGGGAGCGGCUGGGGGGCAACUGGGAGCACUGGGGGGCAACUGGUCCUUACUGGUCCUUACUGGUUGUUAGUAGGUCUUAUUGGUCCUUACUGGUCCUUACUGGUGUUACUGGUGUUACUGGUCCUUACUGGUGUUACUGGUCCUUAUUGGUCCUUAAUGGUCCUUACUGGUGUUACCGGUGCUACUGGUCCUUACUGGUCCUUACUGGUAUUAGUGGUUGUUACUGGUUGUUACUGGUAUUACUACUCCUUACUGGUGUUACUGAUCCUUACUGGUCCUUACUGGUCCUUACUGGUCCUUACUGGUCCUUACUGGUGUUGCCGGUGCCCGCUUGCAGCGCCGCCAGCAGCAGCCGCCACAACCCGGUGCAGCUGUGGGACGCCUACGACGGCCGCGUCAGGGGCAGCUUCCGGGCCCACAACCACCUGGUGAG